rnacentral:lncRNA from 1 species
GAAGAGACCGCCGCUUCAAUAUUUAUAAGGAGAAACUGAUUUGUUAUUUAAGAAUAUCUUUGGUUUGAGAGAGAAAGCAGAACCUUGUCUUCUAACCAUUGCAUGCAAAGAGCGCCAAGCUUAUCGUCAAAGAAGCCAACACCUAACUGACUUGCCAACAAAGGUAUGUACUCAAUGAUAGCAAGUCUUACCCUCCAGUGUCUAUCUUCAGCAAGUUCUACAAUUGCUGGCAACAAGGAUUGCGAUAGUAGAUCAAUCCCAAUAACCUGCCAAAUAUAAAAUAUUGGAAUCAUCAAGUGAAAGUCGAUAAGCAAAAAAAGUUGAAUAAUGUUUAUCGGUGAAACCAUUGACAUGAGAAAAUUUUGUUUGGGUAAGUUGGUCAAACCUGGUUCACUUGGUCGAGUUUGCUGAUGAUGUUCAAGCGUACAUCUGGAAACUCAUCUUUCAACAGCGAAAGAAAGAUUGGAAGGAGAUGCUCAAUUGUUGCAUCCUGCAUUGGAAAAAUCAAUGUAAAGGUUAAAGUCUGCAACAUAUACAAUCCAACAAAAAAAAUCUCUCUGUACAACUGAUCACGGUUAUGGGCACUUUCCAGGUACAAUUAUUGGACGAAAAGGCUGAGUUAAAUACUAACGUACAUCUUUCCCAUCACUGUAGAGUCAACACACAUCUAUAUUUGCGAACUGUCUUACCUUACCCAAGACUGGAGCCAUUCCCAUUAUAACUGAAGCCAGUGCAGAUCUGACGUGUUGAGAUGAGUCUGUUGAUAGCUCCUACAGGUAGAAUUAAAAGAAACUAUAAGUACUAUGUAACAGCUUAUAAGUGUCGAGUCAUUGAUUCUUUGAAAAAAAUUGAGAUUCUCACACGGGUCUCUUAGAAUGUACCUUUACGCAGGGGAGAAUGUGCUGAAUAGCAAGUUCAGGGUUUAGGAUCCGACAAAACUUAGUAACUUUUCCAGCAGCUGCUAUGCGUACUUCAGCCUCAUUGUCACGAAGUAGACGCACAUAUGCAGGCACCAGUUCCGUCCUUGAUAUAGAAGGAACAUUAAAUAGUAUUAGGAAGAAGCAAGGGGUAUCAUCAAAUAUAUUGAUAAUCAUACCUCUGAAGAGGUAAUCCACCAAUAUAGAAAUGCAUAUAAUGCAAUAGGCCUAAAGAACUUCAUUAAAACAUACUAAAUGUUUAUCCAAGACUCCUUACCUAGUAGGCUCAGGUCCCACGGCUUCACAAAGCUCAUAGAGCUGAUUUGCUACCAUGUAACGCACACGCCAAGACUUAUCCUGCUCAGUGACAAAGUACAAAGAUUAAACAUCUCAUAAGUGUAGUUUAUCCAAGGAUCAUCAUCAUAAAGACUAUGCAAUUAGCACAAAUGAUUACCUGCGAGAAAUUAACAAUCACGGGAAGAAUGUGCGCAACACAGUCCUGAGGCUCCAACAAUUUCCCAAGAGCAGCACAACCCUCAACCGCCAAUAAUCUAACGGAAUCUUGAUCUGAUAUGAAAGACAAUGAAGAACCGUAAGAUGAAAAUAAUGUUAGAUAACUAAAUAGAUAUGUGGACACUCAUUUUCAUCUUUAUCUUCAGCUAAUGCUCAGUGUGUAAUGCAUUUCAGUGCCUGCUGGCCGUAACUUUUUUUACAUCCAUCCGCCACCCGCAAAAGCAUAUUUAAUACCGACUCGACAAUUACAUGCUUAAACAAGCAGCAAAGCGACAGUGUGAACCAUAACAGAUAAGAAAUUACCAUCUUGAGUAAGAUCAUCAAACAUAGACAUAACGUCGGUCUUCAAGUGAGCUGAUUCAAUAGUAGCAGCAAAUUUCCCCAGAUUGGUUGCUGCAGCUCUUCGCACCAUUGGCAUAUCAUCUUGACAGAGCUGGGUAUAUAUUGAUCUCAACUCAGUCUUCACCGCAUCUGGGGCGCUAGGGUAUGCAAUAUGGAAAACUCCACAAGCUGAUACUCUGGCUGUGAACCAUUCACCAGCUGCAAGUCUCUGUUACAUCAGGGAGAGUAAACUUAAGUAAUUUCCUUAUUUCAACAAUACAAUAUGCAAAGUUCUUAACGAAAAACAUCUACUUGGCUUUCAAUAGAGAUGGCCAGUCACAUAAACAUCCGAAAAAACAAGUCAGCUAGUUAUGCCAGACACCCUAGAAAAACCAGUAUGGUCUUAUUGUUUUCAACCUAGCAGUUGUCUAUUCCAAAACUUUGAGAGGCCAAUAUAACUCCAAUCUCUGUAUAAACAUAUGCAUAUUCCAACUUAUUUCUUAUGAGAGUCUAAUAUAGUUUCAGUCUCUAUAAGAACAUAUGCAUAGUGUAACUUAUUUCUUAUGAGAGUCUAAUACAACUUCAUUCUCUAUAAACAUACGCAUACUGUAACUUAUUUACUAUGACAGUCUAAUAUAACUUUAACUUCGAUCUCUAUAUUAACAUAUGAAUAUUGUAACUUAUUUCCUAUGAGAUUCAAAUAUAACUUCAUUCUCUUCUUAAAUGAGUCUAAUAUAAUCUUUAUCUUUCAAUAUUCUUCAUGAUUCCUCUAUAUUUUCUAGAUAUUUCCUUAUCUUUGUGUUUUCUAUAAUCUGGAUACGGUCGAUAACAUGAGAAAUGAAAUGAAACCACGAGUUGUUAUCCUCCUCUCUUGGCUAACCUUAACCAACGGUAUGAAAUGCUCAACCAAAUCAGUCUCCUUCAUCUGAGACCCAACUCUGCAAAGCGACUCAACAGCUUUCUCCCUCACACAAGUCUCCUCAACCGUGGAGAGAGUCUCCAACGGUGGAAGCAGAACGUGCGCGUGCUCAACGCCACCAACGUAAGGAAUAAACACUCCCAAUUCCUCAGCCAUUGCAAGCAGCACCUCAUCGUCAUCGUCAUUGUUUUCGCUCAGAAAGGGAAUCAGCUCCUUCCUCGUCCUCUCCUCGCCGAGAGCGCGAGCAAUCGUGGAAAGCCUUCUGAUCGAAUUCAACCUUAGCUGAAUGUCAUCGUUUUUAAGCUCGUCUAUGAGGACGGCGAUGGGGUAAAGCGGCUCGUCGGUCAUCGACAUCUUUGAUCAAAAGUUCGAUUCUCACCUAAUACCAUCAGAGAAAUCGCAAACGCGAGCAAUUAGGAGAAGAACCUAGCACAGAUCUUACUAAGGAAGACAAAGAAGAUCUGAAUUGAAUUUACUUCGAUUCGAAUGAAAUGAAAACAGAUUGAAAAAAAAAAAAAAAGCAGAACACAAGAGUUCUCAGUUACUUACGUUACAAAGUCUUGAGAGUUUAGAAUCUUGCAUCAAAUAGAAAACCAGGGACAGAGAUUUAAAAGUUUUUUUUUAGCUCGACAUCAUCACAUUAUCAAUAGAUUGAAGAGCUUGGUUUGCAAAGAACCUGACAUCAACAUCUGGAUCCUCGCUUAGCUCCACAAGCCCUGGACGAAUCGUAUUCUCUACAACCUUUUAUUUUUCACCACCAAACCAAAAAUUAAAACAAAACCUGAUGGUUGUUCUGACUUUUUAGACAUAUAUAUACACUUACCGAUUGAUCGACAAUUGGAAUGAGGGAUUGAAGCACCUUAGCGACAUUGAAUUUGAUGUUUGGAACUCUGUGGUAGUAAAAAAUAAUCUUGUUUAUACACUUAAAAUGUUUGAAGCAAAAUCAUGCGAGUCAAUAACUAGUUUACAAUGAGAACUUGCCUGUCUUUAGCCCCGGUCAUCACGACAGGUAAGAGCUUGGAGCAUGUGAUCUCUGACCCCAUCACUGGUGCAAGAAGAGAAACCGCACGCAAAAUGGUCAUACGGUACAGAUAGUGAGGGUUGCUGAUCAUCUCAAGAACCUGCAGAUUAAUGAAAAAAAACAUUGGUUGACUCUAAUAAGAAGGUAAACACUGAUUCUUGUAAAACAUAGACAAACCUGUGGAACUAUAUGCUGCAUUGCCCAUUCAGGACCAAAUUCUUCAGCAAGACGCUUCACAUUGUUGGCAGCAGCCUCGCGGAUUGAGUGGACCUGAAGAGACAGCCGCUUCAAUAUUUAUAAGGAGAAACUGAUUUGUUAUUUAAGAAUAUCUUUGGUUUGAGAGAGAAAGCAGAACCUUGUCUUCUAACCAUUGCAUGCAAAGAGCGCCAAGCUUAUCGUCAAAGAAGCCAACACCUAACUGACUUGCCAACAAAGGUAUGUACUCAAUGAUAGCAAGUCUUACCCUCCAGUGUCUAUCUUCAGCAAGUUCUACAAUUGCUGGCAACAAGGAUUGCGAUAGUAGAUCAAUCCCAAUAAC